UCCUCCCUCUUUCUUCGUGCUUAACACAUGCAAGUCGAACGGAAAGGCCCUGCUUUUGUGGGGUGCUCGAUUGGCGAACGGGUGAGUAACACGUGAGUAACCUGCCCUUGACUUUGGGAUAACUUCAGGAAACUGGGGCUAAUACCGGAUAGGAGCUCCUGCUGCAUGGUGGGGGAUGGUGAGUGUCGGCGGUUGGGGAUGGACUCGCGGCUUAUCCGCUUGUUUGUGGGGUAGUGGCUUACCAAGGCUUUGACGGGUAGCCGGCAUGAGAGGGUGACCGGCCACAUUGGGACUGAGAUACGGACCAGACUGCUACGGGAGGCAGCAGUGGGGAAUAUUGCGCAAUGGGCGGAAGCCUGAUGCAGCAGCGCCGCGUGCGGGAUGACGGCUUUCGGGUUGUAAACAGCUUUCGCAUGUGCCGAAGCGUGAGUGACGGUAAUGGGUAAAGAAGCACCGGCUAACUACGUG
rnacentral:rRNA from 1 species